UUUUCUUAGUAGCGGCGAGCGAAAAGAAAUCAGUUCAGCACUAAGUCACUUUGUCUUUAUGGCAAAUGUGAGAUGCAGUGUAUGGAACGUCUACAAUCUAGUAUGAGAAAUUAAUGAUUUAAGUCCUUCUUAAAUGAGGCCAAUUACCCAUAGAGGGUGCCAGGCCCGUAUAACAUUAAUGAUUACUAGAAGAUGCUUCCAAAGAGUCGUGUUGCUUGAUAGUGCAGCACUAAGUUGGUGGUAAACUCCAUCUAAAACUAAAUAUAACCAUGAGACCGAUAGUAAACAAGUACCGUGAGGGAAAGUUGAAAAGAACUCUGAAUAGAGAGUUAAAUAGUACGUGAAACUGCUUAGAGGUUAAGCCCGAUGAACCUGAAUAUCCGUUAUGGAAAAUUCAUCAUUAGAAUUGUAAUAUGUUUUUUUUUUUUUUUAACAAAAAGAAAGAAAAUGUUAUAAUGAUAGUGUGCAUUUUUUCCAUAUAAGGACAUUGUAAUCUAUUAACAUAAUAAAAUAUUUAUCAAAAAAUUAUAAAACAUAAAGUUUAUUUAAAUUAUUAUGCUUGCAUAUUAACAUAGAAUAAAUGUUAAUAAUUUGAUAAAGUGUUGAUAGAUUUAUCAUAUAUACAAUGCUUUAAUUUUGUCGGAAUUAUAUAAUAGCAUAAUUAUCUUUGAUUUUUAUGUUUAUUAUAUGCAUUUGUAUGAUUAACAAUGCGAAAGAUUCAGGAUACCUUCGGGACCCGUCUUGAAACACGGACCAAGGAGUCUAACAUAUAUGCAAGUCAUUGGGAUUUUAUAAACCUAAUGGCAUAAUUAACUUAACUGUUAAAUAUAUGGGAUUAGUUUUUAAAUUAUUUAUAGUUUAUUAACACAAUCCCGGGGCGUUCUAUAUAGUUAUGUAUAAUAAUAUUUAUAUUAUU
rnacentral:rRNA from 1 species